rnacentral:rRNA from 1 species
CCUACGGGGGACUGCAGUGAGGAAUAUUGGUCAAUGGACGCAAGUCUGAACCAGCCAUGCCGCGUGCAGGAAGACGGCUCUAUGAGUUGUAAACUGCUUUUGUACGAGGGUAAACGCAGAUACGCGUAUCUGUCUGAAAGUAUCGUACGAAUAAGGAUCGGCUAACUCCGUGCCAGCAGCCGCGGUAAUACGGAGGAUUCAAGCGUUAUCCGGAUUUAUUGGGUUUAAAGGGUGCGUAGGCGGUCGGAUAAGUUAGAGGUGAAAUCCCGAGGCUCAACUUCGGAAUUGCCUCUGAUACUGUUCGGCUAGAGAGUAGUUGCGGUAGGCGGAAUGUAUGGUGUAGCUGUGAAAUGCUUAGAGAUCAUACAGAACACCGAUUGCGAAGGCAGCUUACCAAGCUACUUCUGACGUUGAGGCACGAAAGCGUGGGGAGCAAACAGGAUUAGAUACCCGGGUAGUC